rnacentral:rRNA from 1 species
AUUGAACGCUGGCGGCAUGCCUUACACAUGCAAGUCGAACGGUAACAGGUCUUCGGAUGCUGACGAGUGGCGAACGGGUGAGUAAUACAUCGGAACGUGCCCGAUCGUGGGGGAUAACGCAGCGAAAGCUGUGCUAAUACCGCAUACGAUCUACGGAUGAAAGCGGGGGACUCGCAAGGGCCUCGCGCGUUUGGAGCGGCCGAUGGCAGAUUAGGUAGUUGGUGGGGUAAAGGCUUACCAAGCCUACGAUCCAUAGCUGGUCUGAGAGGAUGACCAGCCACACUGGGACUGAGACACGGCCCAGACUCCUACGGGAGGCAGCAGUAGGGAAUCUUGCGCAAUGGGCGAAAGCCUGACGCAGCCAUGCCGCGUGAAUGAUGAAGGUCUUAGGAUUGUAAAAUUCUUUCACCGGGGACGAUAAUGACGGUACCCGGAGAAGAAGCCCCGGCUAACUUCGUGCCAGCAGCCGCGGUAAAGUCAC